AGAAGAAAAGAGUUCAAAUUAAUCAUGUCUUCAUUCAUUAAGAGUGUGGAAACAUGAUCCAAAAUCUGGGUGUGCCUUUGUCAUUACACAAAGUCUGAAUCUCUAUAUCAUAUGUGUGUAACAUGAUAUUUUCCAUAGCUUCAAACUCUGACAGUGUGAAUCAGUAUUCGAGAUGUGUGGUAUCAUUUAAAUGUUGUGUUCAUUUUAAGCGUACAGGGCUCACACUGAGAGCAGGUGAGACAGGACCCAGCACAGUAAUCAGAGUAGCUGGUGGCCGUGGUUGGGUGCUGUAUCAUGUAGCUGCUGUGAGAUAAAGCACAGUGUUUGUAAUCCAAUCCUCCCCAGCACCAGCACAUGCUGCUCGAGUCAGUUUGAAUCGUGAAAGUGAGAGAAUGUGAGGAUGAUAAAGAGAGGAGACAUACCUGUGGAGGUGUCAAGAAGUGGACUUCUGUGCUUGGUGUGUGAAAGGAUGUCUGAGGAGUGGAAAAGUGUACUGAUGCUCGUUAUCCGUAACAAAGGUGAGAGCUGUAGUAACUAAGGGCUGAAGCUGAAGAGAAACCAUGAAAGUACCAGAGAGACUUGUUGAAGACAAGCACUGCAGACGUGACGAUGCUGGAUUGUGCUGAUGGAGGAGGACAGAUGGAGCUUCACUGUGGAUCAGAGGAAGCAGAUGAGAUGCUGCCAAGAGAGGAACUGUGGUGCUGCAUGAGGAAGUCAUGAGAGGGUGGUGAGGUGUGAGUGGACAGAUGGGUUCAGAUGAGCAGCAUACAUUGGUCAGGUCUUCUUCCUCUCUCCAUCCAUGAGGUGUAGAAGCUUCAGAUGUUCUGCUCCUGACACUGACCAUCUCUCUAUUUCCAAAGCAAUCUGCAUCCUGGCUUUGAUGUCAUGUAACGUCAUGCACAAAUGAAGAUGAUAAGGGAACGGGUUUCCAUGGCAACUGAACUUCCCAUGUCCUCCAAACUUCACACCUUCAUCUCUACAUUUACCCCAGUUCUCUUUUUAUGUACUUCCCAAAGUGACCUUCAGUGCAGGCACACCACAAAGGUUUACAGUGUCUACGUCUCCGUAGCCCAGACUCACUCGAGAUGUCAGCUAUGCACUGGGAGGCCAGGCGACGGCAGACUGCUCUGGACCGCAGGAUGGCCCGAGACAAGCAGCCGUUGGUGCACAUGAGAAGCUGUGCUGACACCAAUGCAACCAAAUCAAAUGCAACAGAAGAACAACGAGCCGGAAGUCAGCAUCACUGUGAAGGUGACCUGAAGAUGGAUGACCAUCACAACCCCAAGAUUCCC